rnacentral:lncRNA from 7 species
CGAGGCACUCAAUGUAAUUCGACUUUUUAUAAAUAGUACUCCAAAGGAUAACACGCUAUACAAAAAAAGGCUAUAAGCAUCCUGUACGGCGUGGUCGCGUGGAAAGCAUAUGAGGCGGCCACACCAUGGCGACUAUCUUCUGUUAGGAUCGAACCAACGGCAGUCGUUCUACUCAGGGAAUCGGCCCCAAGUCAAAAGUCCUGGCCCCCAAAAUAGAGGAAAGGAAAUAGCCUAACCGUUCGAGAUUGGUGAGGCGGAUGGAAGGGAGCAUGAAUACCUGGGCUUGAGCGAGGUAUGCGCGGCGAGGUCGCGGGACAAGUACUUCUGGGAGGGGCCGAAAAUGCGAGUGCCCCCCUGCUCGUUGCCGCCCUUGGCCGGCGCCUAGGUGGGGCACGUCGCCGUCGUCAUCUGCAAACCCUAGCCAGCAAGGGAAGCUGUAGACACGAGAGGAGAGGAGAGGAGAGGAGAGGAUGGAGACGACGCGAAAGGAGGAGAGAGGCGACGCGGUCGGGUUGUCAGAUGGCUUGACUUCACAGGUCUCCUA